UAUUUUAAUUAGGAUUUAAAAAAAAAGGAAAAAUAGGUUUAAUGUGAAGAAGCGACGCUUAAGCAGGAGUUAGAGGAGCCGGCGCUUCUGGGACACGUGUUCCAUUUUGGAUACAUCUUUCUCUCUCUCUUGACGAAACCUUCAUCAAUCCGCUUCUCUCAAUCUUCCGUGUUGGAUUUGCCGUCUAAAGUUUCUGACUUUCCGACGAGGAAGUAGAGGAGUAAGACGAAGAUCAUAGCAACAAAGCGAAAUAGCUCUCUUCUCUGUAGAUACAAGCGAUCAGACUCAACUCUGUUCAGAUUCCACAAAGGUUAGUCCAUAUCGAGAUGUAAACGAGGAAGGUGUUGUUGGUAAGGAGGAGGAUCAGUUAGCUCUUGACGUGAAGGGUUUAAAUUAUUUGUGGAUACGCUGUUGCAAUCAGGCAACUUGACCGUAAUGGUGCUCAAGGAAUCAGGGAGUUUGCGGUUGAGGUGUUGACACUUACUUUGAUUGGAGUAGUGUGAUGAAUGAAGAAGAUAAUAGAGCAUGGUUAUGGAGAGCAAGUCUUUGGUGAAAGCCGACAGAGAUGAGUCCUCACCUUAUGCUGCUAUGCUUGCUGCUCAAGAUGUCGCUCAGAGAUGUAAGGUAAAAGCAAAUUUUCUAUUGCCAAAAUUUUCAUCUAGAAUGUUUUUCAUUGCAUCAUAGAAUAUGAACAAAACUCAGCUCUGAACAGAUUUAUUUUCCUGCUAUAUGACCAUAAGAUUGUCUUGAAUUUUGGUUGCUUGAAAACUCUCUAUUGCCAAUUUUCUUUUAAGAAUCCCUAAAUAAGAAACUAGCAUUGGAGCUAAAAAUCAAGGUGUCUCUUAACUAAAGAUCUUAAUUACAUUUAAAUACUAAAAUAUUCAUUAAGCACCUCUAAGAGGGUAUGUGGGUUAAUCAUGCUCUUUAUAAUUCUAAUUCUUACCAACUUUUGUUCCGAGUAAAUUAAAUCCAAAUCAUCAUUGUAAAAAAAUCCAAAUAAUGGCCAAGUAUGUCAUACGUGGAUCUAGCCUGAAUUGUUUUUAUUUUCCAGCCAAAAUUAUUGUUUUUAUUGUACUCUAUUCCUACUCCUAACGCUCGUUCAUUCAUCAUCCUAUGCAAAUAGAACCUUGUGUGAAGUUCCCGAAUUAUGUCUAUUUGCACCACGAAAAUCUUUCAGUUCUAAUAAUCCCGGCUUGUGCUCCCUCAUCUCAAGUAGUACAGGUUCUGAUGUUCAGCUGUGCUUUCGCCAUAGCUCUCUGCCGCCAAUACGGUAAUAUUGGUAGUGGAAGGCUCUGGAAGACCUCAGCUUUUACCUUACAGUCAAAUCUCGUCAAGCUUCUCCAUUUGUUUGCCGGUGCAGUGGUAAAGACUUAUCAAACCCCACCUUGGGGCCAGGAGAGACCACUUCCACGCUCCUCCUUCGUUGAGGAGAAAAUUGGUCAAUUGUUUGUCUCCUCCAUGAGAGGUUCACUCUGUCCGGAUCCAAUUCUGGUGAAUUUAAUUUUAACCACGGUCCUAACCGUGUAGUGAGAACCAAGGUUUUGAAGUCUCUGUCAAAAUCACAAGUUUUUUUUGAAAAAUAAAAGAUUAAACUCGGAUCUAUUAAAGACACGUACCUAAUUCCCUAAUCUAUUAAAAUCACAAAUUAAGGUGACGAUCCUCAAGUUAGAAACUUUUGAAGUGCGGUGGUAAUCCUUUGUGAUUCUGUCCGCAAGUGGCUCCUUCGAAAACCUUUCUAAUGCUUUAUCAAGCUUGUUAAAGCCUGUACCAUCUCUUCUAUUGCUUUAGCUGUUUUGUUGUUGUAGUCACUAGGCUUGCACAUCGGAUAUGUCCGCUGAUGCGUUUUUCUCAUAUAACCGAUUAAGUUUAUAAAUGAAGUUGUGUUCAAAAAAAAAGUGUUGCUUUGUAAAGUUCCGAAGAAAAUCUUUUUUUUAAAGGUUAUUUCUAAGAAAAUCUUACGAAAGUCAUUCUUGGAUAUUAGUCAGCAAAAUAAAUGUAUAAUUUUUAUAAUAAUUUAUCCCUCAUACGAAAGUCAUUCUUGGAUAUUAGUAAGCAAAAUAAUUGUAUAAUUUUAUAAGCAUUUGUAUUCCAUGUCUCCAUGUAUUAUACAUAUCUAUUAUUUACAUAUUUUACGUAAAUUAUUUUAUAUUGUACAUAAAUCGUGAUAAAAAUAUUUCAUAUUAAAGUUAUCCAACUCUCCAAUAAUUUUUUGUCUUUUAUAUUUAUUUUUUGCUACUUUAAAAUGAUUGUAGAUAAUUUCUCUUGAUUUAUUAUCCUUCUGUAAUCUGUAGUAUGUAUAGAAAAAAUAUAUUUAAGAGAUGGUUUUAUCAAUGAAUAAUAAAAAGGAACCAUUUCUGCAUAUUUAAAACUAAGAGGGAUUACUUUUGCAAAGUAUUAUAAACAUAAUGGGCAAAGACAAUCUUCUUUAGGCUUUAUGUUCCAUCAGGUAUAAUGCAAACACAUAAUGCUGAAUCUAUUCGAUAAAGACAUGCCUUUUUAGGAGAACAAAACAAACUUAAACUUAAACAAACAAGGGAAAACAACAUUUAACGAUGUUAUAUAUUGGUCAUUGAAAAUCUAAAGAAACACAUAUACAACUACAUUAACUAUUUAAAAAACUAAGUCAUUGUGAUCCAGUGGAAAAAAAAACUUAGAAAAUGUAAUUAUUAUUAUUAUUCUUUUGAUAAGUAUGUGAAUAGAAAAUGUAAUUUCAAUCCUUUCUGAGUUUGAUUGUUUUAUAUAAAAAAAUAUUCGUAUUCGCUAAUAGUCGAGAUAGUGUUAUGAUAUCAACCCACUAAAAACUUGGAGUAUAGAUUAUUCAGCUAUAUUUACCUUAUUUACCUUUCAAAGUUAGUUGAAUUUUAGUUCAGAACCUUAUAAUUAAGUAAACAAAUUUGUUUACGUCUACAAGUCUACAAUAUCUAGUUAUCUGCAAAUCAUGUUUUCCUAGAAAUCAUAUUACUAUGAAAACAAAUUUCUCCUUUCUAUACAUAAAAGGUUUAAAUGAAAUGAUUUUGACUAUUCUUAAAAUAAUAAGAAUUCCAGCUUCUUGUAUAUAUCUAUAUAAUAACUAAAACAUUAUAUAUAUAUGCAGGAAAUAAGCUAUAUAAUUAUGACUACGAGUAUUGCUAACGAAUUCAUGUGACAAGAGCAAAAACAAAAAAAUGGUCACUGACCUUAGUAGUGAGUAUCAAGAUUCAGGAAUUUACAUGGGCGUAUCACGACACGUAGCAUAAAUUCUCAGAUCAACAUUGGAGUGUAUUAAAGUUCAAAAAACCUUGGACUAAUAUGAUUGGAGCUAGCCCUUAGCAUAUUUAUAGUUCAUAGUAGAAGAUGAUGUGUCAAAUGUCCUACGUCUGCAUGUACGGCUAUAUAUAUAACCACGUCGUUAAACAAUAGCAUCGUCUUGUCAAAUGGAAAAUAUAUAGUGUAAUCUGAUGCCAAUGGUUUAAUAAUAUACUAAAUUAAGUUGUAGAUGAUAAUAGAGAUGAUGGUUACACGUACAUUUUGCAAACCAUUGGAGCGACGUAUCGUCGGUGGCUUAUUCUUGCCAGAUAGUAACUAGUGAGACCGUCCUUAGCAUUAUUAAUGGAGGGUUCGGAAUAUAAAAAAUCGUCUCUUAACUUUUAACUAAAAAAACUAAAAACUGAUUUUUUAUAAUCCGCUAAUAACUUCAUCCUAAGAACCCUCCAUUCAUCAUGCUCUUAGGUAUGAGUAACUAGAAAGGAAUACAAAUGUCUAUUUCUAAAUAAUCCAAAUAUAAUAGUUCUAAAAAACACCGAUUAAAUAACUAAGAGUUUUAACUACUAAAUAAUCUAAGAGUUAUAACCACUAAUCAUGUUCUCAACCAUGUUUUUGCAUCUUCCUCUAAAUUUUUUUAAUGUUUAAACUCUGAAAAGAAACAACAUGCUGAAGAUUUGACGUUCAUGGUUGUACAUAUAUAGAAUUAAUUGAUAAUUAAAUGUGUUGACCUAUAUUUCAUACAUGUUGUAUUAGAUCCCAACUUAUAAGGAGAUGUGGGAUAUCUAAAAGACUAUAACUAAUAACCCCCACUAAACCCCAUUCUGUAUGAUGGUUCUUGCUCUAUAACCUAUUUAUAACUGACUUUCAUUAUACAAUGCAAUAACAUAUAAUAUUCAGAAUUAUUUUGAAUUUGAUACCAUGUAAAUCAUGUUAAUAAAUUUACAACUCAAUAUCACUUGAGAAUGAAUGUACUGACUCAUAUAUCUCAUUAGGUAGGUAUUCCUUACUUAUUGGUGUUAUAUUUCUAACAUAGCCUUCAGUGAAAAUUAAUUGAAUGAAUUAUCUUUUUUUAAAAGUGUUAAUACGUUAAUUGAAUGAAGUAUUGAGAAAAAUCAGUCCUUAAAAAAAUGGGUUUCUUUUUGGAAAAAAAAAGGAUUUGAUUGAAAGUUAGAGGGUUAAACUUUAUUUUUGAAAGACUCAAGUGGUUUCAUUGUAGACUGGUACGGUAAACUUACAUGUCUAUUGAUCUUUCAAAAUGAAAAAUAUAAUGCGGUGAGCAUGGAUCGAACACGCGACCUUCAGAUCUUCAGUCUGACGCUCUCCCAACUGAGCUAUCCCCGCUUGACGAACAGAGCAAUACAAGAAAUAUUAGUAGCAAGGAGAGGUAUAUUCAAGAGUAGAUCGUCUUGGUCAUGUGAAUUCAUUUCAUAGCAAUAUGAUUGGCAAACUAAUAUGUGUGAUUGUAUUGAAUAUUCAAUGUUGGCUCUGUAGAAUAUCCCAAACGAUAAAACAUCCGUCUUACUAUGA